GAGUUUGAUCGUGGCUCAGGAUGAACGCUGGCGGCGUGCCUAAUACAUGCAAGUCGAACGAACAGAUAAGGAGCUUGCUCCUUUGACGUUAGCGGCGGACGGGUGAGUAACACGUGGGUAACCUACCUAUAAGACUGGAAUAACUCCGGGAAACCGGGGCUAAUGCCGGAUAACAUGUUGAACCGCAUGGUUCUACAGUGAAAGACGGUCUUGCUGUCACUUAUAGAUGGACCCGCGCCGUAUUAGCUAGUUGGUGGGGUAACGGCCUACCAAGGCGACGAUACGUAGCCGACCUGAGAGGGUGAUCGGCCACACUGGAACUGAGACACGGUCCAGACUCCUACGGGAGGCAGCAGUAGGGAAUCUUCCGCAAUGGGCGAAAGCCUGACGGAGCAACGCCGCGUGAGUGAUGAAGGUCUUCGGAUCGUAAAGCUCUGUUGUUAGGGAAGAACAAAUGUGUAAGUAACUGUGCAUAUCUUGACGGUACCUAACCAGAAAGCCACGGCUAACUACGUGCCAGCCGCCGCCGUAAC
rnacentral:rRNA from 1 species